GCGGCGCUGCCUAAUACAUGCAAGUCGAGCGGGGUUACUGCGUCAGAUUCCUUCGGGAAGAAGAUGCUUUAACCUAGCGGCGGACGGGUGAGUAACGCGUGGGCAACCUACCCUAAAGCCUGGGAUAACACCGGGAAACCGGUGCUAAGACCGGAUACCUUUCGGGGGAGGCAUCUUCUCCGAAAGAAAGGUUACGCUUUAGGAUGGGCCCGCGUCCCAUUAGCUAGUUGGUGAGGUAACGGCUCACCAAGGCUGCGAUGGGGUAGCCGGCCUGAGAGGGUGGACGGCCACACUGGGACUGAGACACGGCCCAGACUCCUACGGGAGGCAGCAGUAGGGACAUAUUGCGCAAUGGGCGAAAGCCUGACGCAGCGACGCCGCGUGAGUGACGAAGGCCUUCGGGUUGUAAAACUCUGUCCUUGGGG
rnacentral:rRNA from 1 species